CCCAGCAAGAUCCAGCGUGCUCCAAGAUACCCACGCUCUGCUCCUCCCUCCCUCCCGUCCGGCAAGAUCCAGCGUGCAGCCUCCCUCUCCUCGAUCCAGAUCGAUAGGUCCACCACAUACACUUCUAGCGAUCCCUAAUCUGGUGAUAGAGAUGGCUGCUCCCGCGCCGGCCUUCUUCCUCGCCUAGAUGCUGCUGCUUGUCUCCUCUCCGAUGAGUGUGGCGGAGCCACCGCGGUCGAGGCAGCCGCCGGCUGGAGCCCCGCCUCUUGUCCUCUCCGGUCGCUGUGGAGGUCCGCCGCGUCCAACCUCCUCGACGGCGCCCGGAACCCUAGGCGGCCCAUCUCUUCCUCCCAUGGCCAUAGCCAUGGCGAGCCUGCAAGAUGUGCAGUAGCAGAUCUUUGAGUACAACGGCUCUGCAACCUGCAGCCGCUGGUCCGGGACGAGUGCAGCGCCGGUUAGGGUGUCCAGCGCCAACCAGAGCGCGCCCCAGGUGCUCUACGGAACGCCCGUUGCACCGCCUGGUCUCAACUUUCUUGCCCUUGGCCAAGCUGAGGGAGAGGGCUAGGGGCUCGGGUGGUACAGUGGCUGUAAGAAUAUGCUCGGGAACGUCGAGUCAGGUCUACUAGGGCGGCAUCCGCGGCCGUCGUCGUCGGCUAUUUCAUCUACAAAGGUUCCAAGCUCGCCCAUGACUCCACUGCCCUCCAGUAUGCAUGCCCAAGUCAAGCUUGCGGUCAUGAUGAAGAUGAUGUACUUCAUUUGUGUUUCAUCGUGGGCUCUAGGACGAAGAAGUCGGGGGAAUCAUAGACUUCUAGCUCAUUGGAGCUAGUUAUACUUCGAUAGCUAGUUAUUUUUUUUAUUCUUUAGUUGUGUUACCUGAUGCGAACUAUUUCUGAUUGUAAACCUGAUGUGAACCAUGUUUGAUCGCAAUGUGCCAGGUUUGGCUCUUUUUGAUUGCAUUCAUGAUUUGAACCAUGUUUUCAAGAUAUUUAGUUAUGCUCUG